CACAGACUGACAUGUACUUGUCAUUAAGAAUGAAAUUCCUCGGGGCGCCUGGGUGGCUCAGUCGGUUGAACGUCCAACUUCAGCUCAGGUCACGAUCUCGCGGUCCGUGAGU